GCGGCGUGCUUAACACAUGCAAGUCGAACGAUGAAGCCUUUCGGGGUGGAUUAGUGGCGAACGGGUGAGUAACACGUGGGCAAUCUGCCCUUCACUCUGGGACAAGCCCUGGAAACGGGGUCUAAUACCGGAUAACACUCUGUCCCGCAUGGGACGGGGUUAAAAGCUCCGGCGGUGAAGGAUGAGCCCGCGGCCUAUCAGCUUGUUGGUGGGGUGAUGGCCUACCAAGGCGACGACGGGUAGCCGGCCUGAGAGGGCGACCGGCCACACUGGGACUGAGACACGGCCCAGACUCCUACGGGAGGCAGCAGUGGGGAAUAUUGCACAAUGGGCGAAAGCCUGAUGCAGCGACGCCGCGUGAGGGAUGACGGCCUUCGGGUUGUAAACCUCUUCAG
rnacentral:rRNA from 1 species